rnacentral:tRNA from 1 species
GGGGUCGUGGCUCAGUGGCAGAGCGCUCGCCCAGCCUGUGGGAGGUCCUGGGUUCGAAUCUCAGCACCGCA